rnacentral:rRNA from 1 species
CUACAUGGCCAUGCCAAAGCCUGAUCUUGUCUGAUUUCGGAAGCGAAGCACAGUUGGACCUGGUUAGUACUUGGAUGGGAGACUGCUGAAAACAGGUGCCACAGUGGU